rnacentral:rRNA from 1 species
UACGUAGGGGGCGAGCGUUGUCCGAAGUUACUGGGCGUAAAGCGCGCGUAGGCGGUCAUUUAAGUUCGGGGUGAAAGGUUCAGCGCUCAACGCGAACAGUGCCUUGAAUACUGGGUGACUUGAGUUCGGGGGAGGGCAGUGGAAUUCCUGGUGUAGCGGUGAAAUGCGUAGAUAUCAGGAGGAACACCGGUGGUGUAGACGGCUUACUGGACCACGACUGACACUGAGGCACGAAAGCGUGGGUAGCAAACAGGG